AUGUCUACCACUGCCACCAGGGGGCACGCUGCCACCGCUUUUCAAGGCAGAGCUGGGAGAAAGAUGAAUCACUUCUAUGACCCCACAUCAGGCCCAAAGUCUCUGCACAGAACGGAAACUGGAAUGUCGACGGGAGGGACGGCUCCGUGUGUCUGGGAAGAUGCCAAGCUGAGAACAGGGGUGAAGACAUGACGCGCCCAAGGAGCAAAAGUCUUCCAGUCUCCGUGAGUGAGAUGGUCCAUCUGUGGAAAGGAAACCACCUUUGAAGGUUUGCUUUGUCCUCUCCUGUGACCCUGCUGUCCCCAACUGCUGUUUGGGGUGAUCUGAGAGGCUGUGGGCUAGGAGAUCACCCACAGGUGAGGACACACUUGGACACUGGGUGCUCCCAGGUCUAGGAGUGGAGAAACCUCCUUCCUGCCCACCUGUCUAGGUGUCUGCGGCAGGAUAGGAUUCCGUGGAGACAGUCAUCCAGACAGACCUCGGGUUUCUGAGUGAUCCUUUUCUGACCCUGCCCUUUGUUUUCAGCAUCUCCUUAGGGCCCUUUAUCAGUCAUCCCGCAGACAGACCCAGGGAGGCACCUGGAAACGCGAGGAGGGAUGGUGGGCGGUUCUGAGACCACUAGGUGUCCUCUGGAAGUGAGCAAGCACCUUCUGCAUGGCUGGGGGCCGGGCCGGACUCUAGGACAGUCACCACCUUAAGUAGGUGAGGGCAGGAGCAGAACUGGGGACAGGGGAAUGGGGGAACUAGGUUCUGUGACCUCAGGGGGUAGAGGCAGGCUGAUGCUCCCUUCGGAAAGCCAGGGUCCUCCUCCUGGGGCUGGCGACCCUCAGGCCGCCUCACUCAGGGACAGUGCGGCGGCACCGCCCCAUAACGUCGCAAGGAGNNNNNNNNNNGCCCCUGCCUUUUGUUU
rnacentral:lncRNA from 12 species